GACGAACGCUGGCGGCGUGCCUAACACAUGCAAGUCGAACGGAAAGGCCCUGCUUUUGUUGGGUGCUCGAGCGGCGAACGGGUGAGUAACACGUGAGUAACCUGCCCUUGACCCUGGGAUAACUUCAGGAAACAGGGGCAAAUACCGGAUAGGAGCCCCUGCUGCAAGGUGGGGGUUGGUAAGUUUCGGCGGUUGGGGAUGGUCUCGCGGCUUAUUAGCUUGUUGGUGGGGUAGUGGCUUACCAAGGCUUUGACGGGUAGCCGGCCUGGGAGGGUGACCGGCCACAUUGGGACUGAGAGACGGCCCAGACUCCUACGGGAGGCAGCAGUGGGGAAUAUUGCACAAUAGGCGGAAGCCUGAUGCAGCAACGCCGCGUGCGGGAUGACGGCCUUCGGGUUGUAAGCCACUUUCGCCGGUGACGAAACGUGAGUGACGGUAAUGGGUAAGGAAGCACCGGCUAACUACGUG
rnacentral:rRNA from 1 species